UACGUAGGGGGCAAGCGUUGUCCGGAAUCAUUGGGCGUAAAGAGCGUGUAGGCGGCUUGGUAAGUCCGCUGUGAAAGUCCAGGGCUCAACCCUGGAAUGCCGGUGGAAACUGUCAAGCUUGAGUCCGGAAGAGGCGAGUGGAAUUCCUGGUGUAGCGGUGAAAUGCGCAGAUAUCAGGAGGAAUACCGGUGGCGAAGGCGGCUAUCUGGAUCGUAUCUGACGCUGAGGCGCGAAAGCGUGGGGAGCAAACAGG
rnacentral:rRNA from 1 species